AUGGAAGAAGUGCCAAUAUUCGAUGGAGAGGAUAGUGGAAAAAAGAAUAAUAAGAAGAAGCGCAAGAGAGAAAGGAUAAAGCAAACACAAUGUAAGGCAAAAAUGCUGGUUAAAUUGAAGGAUGGGCAGUGGGAAGUAACCCACUUUGUCCGUGAUCAUAAUCAUCUGUUGAUCCCCAAGCCUUCGCUCUCCAAAUACUUGCGAUCUCACAUGGGUAUACCGUCGGAGGAAAAGAAGUUCCUAGAGAUACUCCACAACUACAGCCUGACUUCAGGCCGUAUGAUGACUAUCAUGUCAGAGUUUUAUGGCUCGGGGCUAAAUGUACCAUAUGGACCUAAAGCAAUAACAAACUUAUGUGCUAGCUUAUCCAAAGACUCAACGAAAGAGGGGGACAUUAUUCAGACAAUUGAGCAUUUUAAAGAGUUGCAAAAAGAUGAUCCAGACUUUUUCUAUAAGAUAAAAUAUGAUCUCAAUGGAAGGGCAGAAAACAUUUUUUGGGCGGAUGGCUUGGCACGGAAACCUUAUACGGAGGCAUAUCAUGAUUGCGUCUCCUUUGACACAACCUAUAUGACCAAUAUGUACAACAUGCCUUUUGCUCCGUUCAUUGGAAUCAACCGUCAUGGGCAAUCUUUCAUGUUGGGCUGCGCGUUUGUGAGGCAAGAAAUGGAGACCAGCUUUGAUUGGGUUUUUAGAGCUUUCCUAGAGGCUAUGAAUGGAAGGGCACCGGAUAACAUCAUUACUGAUCAGGAUGUGGCAAUGAAAGAGUCCAUAAAGAACAUAAUUCCCACAAGUAUGCACCGAUGUUGUCGGUGGCACAUCAUGAAAAAAGCUCAAGAGAAAGUUGGAUGGUUGCUAGGCCGGAACCCGUCUGAAGAUUACAACCUUUGCGUUGAUUUCAGUUUCACACCAGAUGAGUUUGAACAGAAUUGGGCUGUGUUGAUGAUGAAAUAUGAGGCAAUUACACACACCUAUUUUGAGAAGCUAUACAAAUAUAGGAACACAUGGGUGCCAUGUUACUUCAAGCAUAGACUUUUCCUGUUCUUGCAGUCUACACAACGAAGUGAGGGGUUCAAUGCAGUCUUGAAGAGGUAUGUCAACCCUCACAAGUCAAUUACGAACUUUGUGAAGCAGUACCACAAAAUACAGACGCACAUCCUCAUCAAGGAAGGGUGCAAUGAGUGCAGGACAGAACAUCUGGAUCUUGACAUGUGGUCACAAUUCCCAAUAGAGAAGCAGGCAUACAAGACAUAUACUAGAGAUCUUUACUGCAAGUUCCGCAAUGAGUUUUCGAUGAUUGGACGCUACAAUGCAUUCCAAAUUGGUGUGGAAACGUUUGAGCUGAGACCAAAUACGGAAUGGGUUGUGAAGUAUGGUUCCAGGAACUACUUGGUGUUGGCAAAAAUACCGGAGGGAUAA
rnacentral:rRNA from 1 species